rnacentral:rRNA from 1 species
CCUACGGGGGGCAGCAGUGGGGAAUAUUGCACAAUGGGGGAAACCCUGAUGCAGCGACGCCGCGUGAGUGAAGACGUAAUUCGUUAUGUAAAGCUCUAUCAGCAGGGAAGUAAAUGACCGUACCUGCGUAAGAAGCCCCGGCUAACUACGUGCCAGCAGCCGCGGUAAUACGUAGGGGGCAAGCGUUAUCCGGAUUUACUGGGUGUAAAGGGAGCAUAGACGGCAGUGCAAGUCUGGAGUGAAAGGCGGGGGCUCAACCCCCGGACUGCUGUGGAAACUGUACGGCUGGAGUGCAGGGGAGGUAAGUGGAAUUCCUAGUGGAGCGGUGAAAUGCGUAGAUAUGAGGAGGAACACCAGUGGCGAAGGCGGCUUACUGGACUGUAACUGACGUUGAGGCUCGAAAGCGUGGGGAGCGAACAGGAUUAGAUACCCUGGUAGUC